rnacentral:rRNA from 1 species
UACGGGGGGGGGCAAGUCGUUGUUCGGAAUUACUGGGCGUAAAGGGCUCGUAGGCGGCCAACUAAGUCAGACGUGAAAUCCCUCGGCUUAACCGGGGAACUGCAUCUGAUACUGGAUGGCUUGAGUUCGGGAGAGGGAUGCGGAAUUCCAGGUGUAGCGGUGAAAUGCGUAGAUAUCUGGAGGAACACCGGUGGCGAAGGCGGCAUCCUGGACCAACACUGACACUGAGGAGCGAAAGCCAGGGGAGCAAACGGGG